GUAGUAUUACUUAGUUUUGAUUGAUUGAAGCCCAUGAAAAAUUAGAAAAGAUAGGAUGUACGUAUAUUAUUAAUUAGUCUAUAAAGAAUAUAAGAUGAUCGAUCAUCGUAUGUGUUAGGUUUCGAUAAAACAAAUAAGGUGGUAAAAUGAAAAAAAAAAUAAAAAAAAAUUGGGUUUAGGACAUGUAAAAUCUUCUUUUUAUAUGAUGUAUAGUUAUAUAUGUUGAGUAAAAUUGGCACGGUAGACUUUGGUAACGAUCGGCGUGAUCUGAUCAUUCACGUUGAAGAGAGAGGUAGUAGUUAGUUAGCACGUGGCUGCUUCAACCCCGCGCGGCCGUGGCACUUUAGGUUGUCAACUGUAAAAUACGGUUGACUUUUUACUACUGCCAUCGCUAAUUUAUUACAAAGAAACGUUUCUCCAUUAAUAAUGUAUUGGUUACUACAAAAUUGAGCUUCAUUUUUUAACUCUUUUUUUUUUUUCUGUAAAAUUUGUAGAGGAUUGAAGAAUUUAACAUUCGGGAAGAGAUCGAGAGAAGUUAGUACGACUAGAAACAUUUAUUCGUCAAACAUGUUUGUAUGUAUGUAUUGUAUAUGUGGGUGCAUGUCUAUGCACCUAUUAUGUAUCCAAUGAAUGCAUGUUAU
rnacentral:lncRNA from 1 species